GACGAACGCUGGCGGCGUGCCUAAUACAUGCAAGUUGAGCGCUGAAGGUUGGUACUUGUACCGACUGGAUGAGCAGCGAACGGGUGAGUAACGCGUGGGGAAUCUGCCUUUGAGCGGGGGACAACAUUUGGAAACGAAUGCUAAUACCGCAUAAAAACUUUAAACACAAGUUUUAAGUUUGAAAGAUGCAAUUGCAUCACUCAAAGAUGAUCCCGCGUUGUAUUAGCUAGUUGGUGAGGUAAAGGCUCACCAAGGCGAUGAUACAUAGCCGACCUGAGAGGGUGAUCGGCCACAUUGGGACUGAGACACGGCCCAAACUCCUACGGGAGGCAGCAGUAGGGAAUCUUCGGCAAUGGACGAAAGACUGACCGAGCAACGCCGCGUGAGUGAAGAAGGUUUUCGGAUCGUAAAACUCUGUUGGUAGAGAAGAACGUUGGUGAGAGUGGAAAGCUCAUCAAGUGACGGUAACUACCCAGAAAGGGACGGCUAACUACGUGCCAGCAGCCGCAGUAA
rnacentral:rRNA from 1 species